GUUGACGAAUCUCUAACGACACGAAAUGAACCGGCAUAUUUCACCGGUGAUAAAAGAUUUUAUAUAUCCGUUGACGAAUCUCUAACGAUUUUGUAUAUAUUUCGCAAUUACAAAUUAUAAUAUAUUGUACCGUUAUUUGGCAUUUUGAGAUAAAACAAGAAGACGACGGCCAUUGCUGUUGAUCUUGGUGCAAAGUUUCUUAAUCUGGUUUAUAAUAAAUGUAAUGUUUCAUAUGCAUCAUCACCAACAAGUUCAAUUAAAGCAAACUCAACCUUAUCAAGAGCUGUAACCAUUGACAGCCCUUAAUUAACCACCCGUCAAAGGGACCAUUGGAAAAGCUCUUAUACGUUGAAAAUAUAUUCUUAUCUACCAAGGACUGGUCUUGUCAUGUUCAUAUCAAAACCAGCUUAACAUCAGUGAACAAAACCUGAGUGAGAGCACGGUGUGGUCGGCAAACAUUAUGAUCAAGAAAGCCUGACAAAGGAACCACCAACAGCAGAAAUCUAAAAUCACCAGUUAAGGUGUCGAGACAUUUAAUACAGACUGACUUCUCAUCACUAAUUGUUAACACCACAAGAUUAUCUUGUAAGAUUAAAUAUAUUAUGUU
rnacentral:lncRNA from 1 species